UACGAAGGGGGCUAGCGUUGUUCGGAUUUACUGGGCGUAAAGCGCACGUAGGCGGAUCGAUCAGUCAGGGGUGAAAUCCUGGAGCUCAACUCCAGAACUGCCUUUGAUACUGGGGAUCUCGAGUCCGGGAAGAGGUGAGUGGAACUCCGAGUGUAGAGGUGAAAUUCGUAGAUAUUCGGAAGAACACCAGUGGCGAAGGCGGCUCAC
rnacentral:rRNA from 1 species